AUGACACGUCCUAAACAUCUAGACGGGCUAGGAUUCAGGGAUCUAGAGAUUUUCAAUCUAGCCCUGUUGGCUCGCCAAGCCUGGCGACUACUACAAGAACCAAUGAGUUUGAGCGCAAGAAUUUUGAAGGCCGCAUAUUAUCCAAACAAUUCGGUUCUUGAUGCGGAGUUGGGACCAAGGCCGUCUCAGAUUUGGCGGGCUAUAUUGGAAGGA
rnacentral:rRNA from 1 species